rnacentral:rRNA from 1 species
AUGGGCAUUGCUUUUUCUGAGGCUCCAACGUUGCUAAUGCGGACUAAGGAAUCACUGCAGCGCAGUUCCGAGUUCCUCCUAUCCGAGGUGGGUUUGGAACCGGCAUACAUUGCUCAACAGCCGAUAAUUUCCUGUUACAGCCUAGAGGGCCGGCUGAGACCAUGGUACUAUGUUGUAAAGUUUCUCAAGGAAAAUGGAUUGCUCAAGCGUGACCUGAACUACUAUACAAUUGUCAAGGUGACCGAGAAGGCAUUCAGGAAGAAGUUCAUAUGCCCUCACAAGGAAGUUGCACCGCAUCUCGCAGAAGACUACGAUUCCGCUUGCAAGGGGGAUGUGCGGACCAAUUUCAGAUUUACAUGA